AGAACUGGACACCUCGGGGGUUUCCUGCUUUAUGGCGAAGGACGGAGUUUUGCUCUUGUUGCCCAAGCUGGAGUGCAAUGGUGCGAUCUUCGCUUACUGCAACCUCUGCUUCCUGGGUUCAAGUGAUUCCCCUGCCUCAGCCUCCCGAGUAGCAGGGAUUACAGACACAUAUACUCAUAGAAAUGAGUUAUUUAAAGAAGACGGUCCAGAUUCCACAGUCCAAAAAAAAAAAGAGGUUUGCCCUGCUUCCGAAGGAGUCAGGAUAUGAAUGCAGAGGUCUUCCUGUUGGCUCACAUAUCAGACCUUCAACGUCAACAUUAAAUGCUGAAAGAACAUCAGUGUAUCAGCACAGCAAAUAUUCCAAAUGCCAGGCUGGAUUCCCUCCAAUUACCAGAACCUCCAGGCUUCUCCUCCUUUCAAGAACUUUCUGACCCUGGAUCCAGUCUAAAUGUUGGUUAUAAACUCACCUGACAUCCACAGGGCCCUUCCAAAGUACUGUCAAGGCUGACUGCUGGUGCCUGGAACCUGCACACCCUCCUGGGACUCUGCAUCUCUGCUGGGGCUGGUUUCUCCUCUGAGCCACCUUAAGGAAUCCCAUCCUGACCCGGUCAGAGCUCAGCAUGCCUCCCUCUCCUACUUGCUCAGCAUUUUCUGUCUAUCUAGACUGAAGCCUUUGCUUUCUCUCUGUGAUUGUGGUGAAAGUUCAGUUUGCUUUCCUCUCUCUAGAAUGUCAGCAUGAAGGCAGAGGGAUGGUCUCCUGAGUUCCAUAACCCCAAAGCCUAACUCCCUGCCUGCCACACUGAGGGGCUCAGUAGACAUUGACUUACUAAAUUGAAUAGUUGAGUAAUAAUGCUCUUUGAAAUAAUUUGGAGUUAGAUCUUGAGCCUUGUGUGGCCAGGGGAUGGGUGAGGACACAUCAUAAAAACUAAAGGUAACUGAGCAUGCCAGCAGUUGGGGUGAGAAAUUUGCAUGGAGCACUCCAGACGCAGAGGCAGUGCUGGGAAAGAACCCAAGUGCUGGGAAGUCAGAGUGAGAGAGUGAAGGGGCAGUGAGUGCUUCUUUAGGAGCUGGAUCAAAACCUAAGAUGAUCUGGCCACAUGGUGCAGACUGAGCACACACUUGGGAGAGAAAUGGGCCAGGAGGAGAGGAGAGAGGUUCACCACAGGACAGUGGAUGACUGGGAAUAGAAGCCCUCCCCAUGGUGG
rnacentral:antisense_RNA from 1 species